GGGGCGUAGCGCAGAUGGUAGCGCGUCUGGUUUGGGACCAGAAGGCCGCAGGUUCGA
rnacentral:tRNA from 1 species